GUCUAUAGCCACGCCACCCCUAACAUGCCCGAUCUUGUCUGAUCUCGGAAGCUAAACAGGGUCGAGCCUGGUUAGUACUUGGAUGGGAGACCACCUAGGAAGACCAGGUGCUGUAGGCC
rnacentral:rRNA from 1 species